rnacentral:rRNA from 1 species
GAUGAUUUUAGUGCUUGCACUAAAUGAAACUAGAUACAAGCGAGCGGCGGACGGGUGAGUAACACGUGGGUAACCUGCCCAAGAGACUGGGAUAACACCUGGAAACAGAUGCUAAUACCGGAUAACAACACUAGACGCAUGUCUAGAGUUUGAAAGAUGGUUCUGCUAUCACUCUUGGAUGGACCUGCGGUGCAUUAGCUAGUUGGUAAGGUAACGGCUUACCAAGGCAAUGAUGCAUAGCCGAGUUGAGAGACUGAUCGGCCACAUUGGGACUGAGACACGGCCCAAACUCCUACGGGAGGCAGCAGUAGGGAAUCUUCCACAAUGGACGAAAGUCUGAUGGAGCAACGCCGCGUGAGUGAAGAAGGGUUUCGGCUCGUAAAGCUCUGUUGGUAGUGAAGAAAGAUAGAGGUAGUAACUGGCCUUUAUUUGACGGUAAUUACUUAGAAAGUCACGGCUAACUACGUGCCAGCAGCCGCGGUAAUACGUAGGUGGCAAGCGUUGUCCGGAUUUAUUGGGCGUAAAGCGAGUGCAGGCGGUUCAAUAAGUCUGAUGUGAAAGCCUUCGGCUCAACCGGAGAAUUGCAUCAGAAACUGUUGAACUUGAGUGCAGAAGAGGAGAGUGGAACUCCUGGUUUGGGGGGGGG